rnacentral:lncRNA from 1 species
UGCAAAUCUCUAAACAUAAGCAAUUUAUUUAUUUAUUUAUUUUUCUCUUUACAGCAGCAUAAAAAAGAAGUGUUGAGAGCUGCUCUUAACCCUUUUGGAGUCCGAAGUCAAAAGGGAACUAGGGGGCUUGAUACAUCCCUUGCAUCCUGCAUUUACUCUGACCACAGUCCCUCCCUGUUCUCACAAGUGGAGCUCUGCCCUGCUUCCCUUCCUGUUGAUUCCCAGUCAGCUACAUGA